rnacentral:rRNA from 1 species
GCUACUCGUGCAGCAGCGCGGUAAUACGAGAUGCAGCGUAUCCGAUUUAUUGGGUUUAAAGGGUGGCGUAGGCGGUUGGAUAAGUCAGCGGGUGAAAGUUUUCUGCUUAACAGGAAAAUGCCGUUGAUACUGUCUGGCUAGAAUAUGGUUGCUGUGAGUGGAAUGUGUGGUGUAGCGGUGAAAUGCUUAGAUAUCACACAGAAUAUCGAUUGCGAAGGCAGCUCACAAAGCCAUUAUUGACGCUGAGGCACGAAAGUGUGGGGAUCAAACAGGAUUAGAUACCCUGGUAGUCCACACUGUAAACGAUGAUAACUCGCUGUCGGCGAUACACAGUCGGUGGCCAAGCGAAAGCGAUAAGUUAUCCACCUGGGGAGUACGACCGCAAGGUUGAAACUCAAAGGAAUUGACGGGGGCCCGCACAAGCGGAGGAACAUGUGGUUUAAUUCGAUGAUACGCGAGGAACCUUACCCGGGCUCGAACGGCUUUAGAAUAUAUCAGAGAUGGUAUAGCCAGCAAUGGCUGAAGUCGAGGUGCUGCAUGGUUGUCGUCAGCUCGUGCCGUGAGGUGUCGGCUUAAGUGCCAUAACGAGCGCAACCCUUGUCGUUAGUUACCAUCAGGUCAUGCUGGGGACUCUAACGAGACUGCCACCGUAAGGUGUGAGGAAGGGGGGGAUGACGUCAAAUCAGCACGGCCCUUACGUCCGGGGCGACACACGUGUUACAAUGGUAGGUACAGAGGGCAGCUACCCAGUGAUGGGAUGCGAAUCUCUAAAGCCUAUCUCAGUUCGGAUUGGAGUCUGCAACUCGACUCCAUGAAGUUGGAUUCGCUAGUAAUCGCGCAUCAGCCAUGGCGCGGUGAAUACGUUCCCGGGCCUUGUACACACCGCCCGUCAAGCCAUGGAAGCUGGGGGUGCCUGAAGUUCGUGACCGCAAGCAAGGAGCGACCUAGGGCAAAACUAGUAACUGGGGCUAAGUCGUAACAAGGUAACCAAUC